AGAUGGAAAGAAUCCAAAGCCGAUCCAUUUAUGCGAGCAAUGGGGGGGGGGAAGCGGGGAAGCAGUCCUCGGCAGCUUCAGAUGAUGAGGCAGUGAGCUUAACUGUGUGUCAUUUACAAUUGCAUACAUGAGCAUGCGUACAUGCAGGGCAAGCAGCACUUCAUUUCUGUCCAUGCUAUUGACUGCUCUGACACUUUGACGUGCUUGGACUGCAUUCCAUUGGAGAAGCACUUCGUCCCUUCCUCUGACCCAUACAGCAGAGAGCAGCAUCAGAUGAGCGGAAUGCUACUGUUCUGUUCUGGGUAACAACAGAUCACAGAGCAGUAGUCUGAAUGAAGCAUGUAUGUGGAUCGAGCAUAAACAGAAUCUCAAAACAGACAUAUGCAGACUCCAGAUAUCACAUAUGAAAAGAAUGGGGAGAUGCAAGAGACUGAAUGGAGAAGAUAAAUAAGGGGUAUAGCACCUUUACAAGGCACUUCUUAACAAGCAAUCUGAGAGAGGAAAAAAUCAGUUGCUCAAGCAAUCAUGCCUCAUUUCUUGGAUUGGUUUGUGCCAAUGUAUCUGAUGAUCUCCAUUCUUAUCUUGGUGGGCUUUGGAGCUUGCAUAUACUACUUUGAGCCAGGACUUCAGGAAGCGCACAAGUGGCGGACACAAAGGCCAAUCAUGGAACGAGACCUUCGGAAAACACUGAUGAUACGAGACAACCUGGCAUUUGGGGUGCCUGAAGUCUAGUAUUCUUCUUGCAUAGAUGUGUUGGAAGUAUCUAGAAGAAAGCCAUCCCCACCUGAAGUUACAAAUUACUGUGCACACUCUGGUUUGCUUAGCACUUCUGCAAGUGAUGUGGUCAAACCACUCCUUGCUUGAGUCUCUGAUAAUGAAGUGUUCCUUUUUGCUAUUUAGACAAGGCCUGUAGACUCAUAUCAACUUAGACCUUCUGGUUUUUGAAUUUGUUCAUCACCCCAUCACUUGAUAUUUUUUAUCCUCCAUAUAUAAAGAGCUCUUGUUACCUUGCUAGGAGUGGUCACACCUGUACGUGAGCUUUAGACCUCUUAAGUAUAAGAAAGCAAUAUUUCUGCAUGACCUGUCUAUUUUGGUCCAGUGCCUCCUGGACAAGUGCCCAUCUCACAAACCUCACAACAGACACCAUUUCAUUACUUUAUUUAGAGUCUCUUGGGUGAGGCAAAAACCCCAAAUUGAUUGCUCAGACUGAAUUCUAUUCUCAUUCCCAACACUGAGCUCAGAUAUGCAGUAGGACUCAUUACUAGCCAAGUUGUAUAUAUUUUGAUUUCAGAUUGUUUCACUGCACACAAGCGCCUGUCUGGCUCUGAACACACUCAAAUUUCACUUUUAAAAGUCUGUGCAGAUUAAUUACCGUUAAAGAAUUGCUUUCAUUUCUCCAUGAUUGGGGAAUUUGUUUCUAGAUGUUGGAUCGUCUGCACUUCUCUAUACUUAGAGGAUCCAGAAUGCUGUCAUGCAAAAAGCUUGUAUUUCACAAUCCUCUGCUGCUGCAAUCUUUUAAAGUGGUCUGAUCAGGAGUCCCCUGUUUAGCACUGUACUUUCUAGAUUGUCAGCCAGACUGAAAACUGUGAAAUGCCAUCACACAACCUACCUUUCUGCAUCCACACCAAAAGCCACGGAGCUAGAGGCAGUCACACUGCAGUUCUAAUUUCUAUACGUUGCUUCUGGAGCUCCGUUGUGUGGGGUUAUGCAGUAGAUAUGCUCUCUAUCCACACAGUGUUUGCACUUUGAUCCACACUUCCUUUAGGGAUAUAUUACCAAAGUACUGUAUGAAAACUUUAAUGCAUGUGAAAAUGGGCAGGAACCUCUGCUAAUCUAAUAGUGUGCAGAUUGCAUACUGAUAAUAUUGGCAGAAUAUAGGACCUAUGACAUGAUGGGUAUUCUCAUAGCUGGUUUUACUGUACCUAUAUUAUCUUUCACCUUCGUUUCAGGGCAUCAGUUCUGACUGUAGAGUAUGUUUCAUUCCCUUGUUGACAGAGUAUGUUGUGCUGUGUUAACACAUCUGUUCCACUGUGAAGUACUAGUCUUGUGGACAUCAGUUUCACCAGUAUACAUUUCAUGUUAGGGACAUGUGCCUUUGCUUCUCUACCGUACUCAUAUGUACAUUCCAUGUUAAGGUAGCACAUACUGUUAAUGUCUACAUCAUCCCCCGAUUACAGAGACAUGUCUAUACAUUGGAUGCCCCAUUGGAAUGCAUUCACUCCCACACCAUAGUUUCGUAGAACAUAGUUCUUCUCUACAUUCCAUACUUUCCUCGCCUGUCAAGUGCUGCCUUCUCAUACACUUGGAUACAUUCCGUUGCUUCCAUGAUCUCAUUCAGUGCCAUAGUCCCUGACAACUGCACAGUACAGCAGGAACUUGGAAUCUUGCUGGAAAGAUGCUCGCUCCUUCAUUGGAUUUCCUCCCCAGUCUGCUCACAAUGAAACCACACAGCCAGCCGGAGAUCGCUCUCACUUGAAAAUGUGUGGCAUGCUUUGUCAGCAGCUGCUGAAUUUGAGCAUAGCACAUUGCAUAAGGUGGUAUGUGAUUUAUUGUGAGUGGCUGCCUGAGGACGCUUCUAGUGUGAGUGAGGGUAGUUUCUAGCACAAGGUGGGGGUAAGUGUUUUGGUACAGCUGUGUGGAGCUAGUCUCAAAGCAGGUGUAAAAACCAGACUAGGUCUCAUUACCUGCAUCACAAAUGCCCACAGAACUUGUCUUGCUUCAAAUAUACAGAACAGGGUGAGAUUCCUGCAUUGCAAGGGGUUGGACUAGAGGACCCCUGGGGUUCCUUCCAACUCUAUGAUUCUGUGAGGAAGAGGCGCCAUUUCCUAGGUGCCCAAAACAGCAGAGCAGCUUUCUGGUGUGGGGUCAUGUGUGUUUAGAGCAUGGAUCUUGGCUAGGUAUAUGCCAUUUUAAGCAUUCUAAUGUUUUAAAUUGGCUGCCCCUCUCCAGGGACCCUUGCACAGAGCAAUAAGCUGCAUCUGGGCCAGUCUUUCCAUUAGGCAGAGUGAGUUGGUUGCCUCAGAAAGCAACUUUUGGAUGCCCUACCAGGGUGGCAAAUUGCUUGUUUAUAUUGUGUCUGUAUGUGUUGAGUUUGUAAGGCACCCAAAUGUCUUGGUCAGCUGUGAGCAGCAUGCUCCAGUGUGCAAAGAUCAGAUGGCACAGACAGAGCUAACCAUCCAUUUAGCAAGUGGUGAUGCGCAUUAUCCUGAUCCAACAUGUAACAUGUGUCUGUGGAAGGGCUACAGAUUAUUUUUAACCCUGCACAGUCAACCCCUCCUUGGAGUCCUCCGUGGACGAAUGCAGAAAGCGACCUGCACACACAAACCUACUUCUGUGUGCACAGAUUGCCUUUGCUGGAUUGGAGCAAUUAUAUUUUUGUUUGAGGGCAUGAGACUAGGAAAAAGGCAGCACCAUAACAUUCCCAAGUUGUUCUGCUCUAAAUGGGCACUUUCCUGUAUCCAUGACCCAUUUGUUACUACAUAUAUCUACUAUAGCCAUAGUCUCUGAGUUUCACUUGGAGACCUGUUUUCUGAGCCUUGAUUUCAUUUGUGAAGACUAGGCUACCAAUGCAAAUGAACGGACCCCAGGCUGAGCAAUGGGGGUAGCAAUAAGUAUCCUAUCUGGGGCCAGGAGUUUUAAAGACUUUGUGGACAGGCUGCAUUAUCCAUUGACGGCUAAUACAUAGUGGGUGGAGGGUUCUGUGGAACUUAUCAUGACACACUUUUUUGAACUUAGCCACAUAAUCUUUGUCCUUCCCAAGUUUCUUUUCUCAGGGUUGCCUCACAUGAUAAGGAGAAAACGAGUUGCAUCUUCAGUGAAUCAGCCACAUGGCGCUGCCUGCUGCAAAUAUGCUUUUCAUAUUAUGUCAGGUAUCUCUCAGUGUAAGAUAAUCUCCGUUAGGAAGUGACUCAGUGACCACACAAGCUUUUUGUAGGUAUAUUGAUUUCAAUGGAACUGCAGAAUGUGAGUGCAAAUAGUCGUUGAGUAAUACCCUUGAUAUUGAGAAGUGCUGAAAGGAAACAAUUUUUUCUCUUUCCUGUUCAAAAUUAAAAUUACUGGGCACAGGAACCUGGGUAUAUAGUUUAAAUCCUCGCCCUCCAGAAGUGGUUGGGAGUGAGACCAGCUACCCAGGUUCAUGUGUCCAGUAAUUUUAAUUUUGAACAGAAAAGAUAAAAAUUAACUCCAGCCACAGAGACUGAUCAAUCAUCAGCCCAAACUGAUUCACAUUGAGUGCUAUUGAGUGAGAGCUCAGUGGAAGUUUCUCACACUUUUCUAUUCCUAUCCUUGAGGACAAUUGAGGAACUGCAUUUGCUACCAGCAUGAAAUCCACAGUAUGUUUUCUGUUUCACGAGCAAAAAACAUUUUCGAAAAGCCAACUAUAUAAACAAAAACAAGUCACUGAGUUUUGUGCCAAAAUCUGGGAGUUAGGAUAAAUGGUUAGAAUUAUCCCACCUAACUUAGACCGAAGGGGCAUCAGCCUAUAUUUGUGCUUGACUUUGAUUAAAUAGUAACCACAUAUACUGUUUUCUUCAGUGACAACCAAUAAUUAUUUUUAAAUGGGGGAAAUCAGAAUUAGAAGAACCAAUGGCCUGUCUACAUUCUGUGUGAAUCCCUGGCCUCUUCUCUUGCUUUGUACUGUUUUGUGUGCCAAGUCUUCAAUGGUCUUAUCUAUCCAAUUCUGUAUCUUACUCCAUAGGGCUACCUACCUGCAAAUGAACAAGAAGUAAAAAUAUUUUUGUUCGUAAUGUCUGUUUUGAUAAUGGAGCAAUCUCAUAAGAGAACUGUGGUGUUUUGGGGAUUUGUUGAGAGUUUGUCACUUUUUGUGCUGUUCCUAAACCUACCAGUUUGCCUGUGAAAUCUUCAGAAUGUACCUAAUUGUUAUGAUAAUCUCAUGUGUGAAUGUUCUGUUUCAGUGGUGGAUUUUUAUGCCCAUGUGAUCUUUUCUUGGAUCAUGUGCUUUACAUGAUUGGGCUUUUGUGAGACAGUAUGUAUUUUCCAUUAUUGGAGCCAACAUUUCAGCAGGGUUUGAAUCUGAUUACCGUAUUUAUCACUCUAUAAGACGCACCAGACCAUAAGACGCACCUAGUUUUUGGAGAAGGAAAACAAG